UUAAACGCUAGUUUGCCCAAUACCUUAACUCACCAACCAACCAGUCGAGUAGUGGAUCAAAUUGUCAUGGUGCGCCCAAAAUAGAAAUAUCAUACAUUAUCUCACUCUCAAUUGGAUUUGUAAAUUUUGGGGUGUGCCACUAUUUUCGAGAAUGGAUCGUUUUCAACAAUAAAAGACAAUGUCACCAAUAUGUUAGACGAAAUCAC
rnacentral:lncRNA from 1 species